ACUAAUUGCAUUGUUUUAAAAAUUUAAAAAUGUAGAUCAGUGUUUGCCAAACGCACAAGGUGACGUCCUCAAAUGUCUCGUUUUGUCUACAACUCAAACAUUUUCAGUUUACUGUCACAGAGAAG